UCAGCCUAAAAAGCAGAAGGCACACAUAACUUAAGAAUUCGCCCCCAAAUCGCCAAAUCCAACAGUCACAAAUUUAUCCCCCAAAGCCAAAGAACAGGGUUAUGCAUGAACUGGGACCGAAGACAUAAUAAGUCACAAGUGAACAUACCUCACAGAUGUACAGGACAAGUCAAUCGGGCGAAAAGCAGCUCAAUUCCUCCAAACAGGCUCAAACUUCUGAAGAACUGGAGAUGUGGAGAACUCUUGAGGACAUUUGACUUGGGCGCCAACUAAAUACAGCCUUGUCAUCUUCCCAAGUUGUAGCAGAGCUGCAUCGAAGUCGUGUGCACGAAGUUGAGCUGCAUCGAAGUCGUGUGCACGAACAAAGCAAGCAGGGAUCACAGUUCACACAUCAGAAAUCUGAAUUGAUGUUAUGCUGUGCGCCUGUGCCCCGGGAUCCAUAGAGUACCAAAGCAGUCAAGCUUGGAGGCAUGUCAGUGUACUCGUGUAUACGCGAUGCCAUCAAUAAAUCAUAAAUCAAGCGGUUUUCCUUGGUCA